AAAUCAAACGAGAUUCUAUGAUUAGUGUGAAUGAAAGUAGAGCAGCCUAUAAAAAUAUCAGAAUAUAUAUGUGAUGUAUAUAUAGUAAUCUUUUUUAAACAUAAAGUAGUAUUAGAAUAAAUUAUUUGAUUUAAAACCAAACAAAUAUUAGAUUGAUUUUUAUUAUAAUAUUACUAGUAUUAUUAUUACUUGGAUUAUAUCCAUCAAGAAAAGAUAAUAAAUUAGGGGUUCAAAAAACCCCUAGUAACAAAAAUCUUUGGGUUCAGAAAACCCAUAAAAUCGAGAUAUAUAAAAUAAAAUUAUCCACUGAUAUAUUAAAAAAGUAAAACGGGCAAAACCUGUUUGAAUAUAUAGGGGAACCUUCCUCUAAGGCUAAAUAUGAUAUAUGAGCGACAGCGUAUAGUUGUUUGAGAGAAAGGUUUGAAAUAGUAGUCUUAUAAGCAGCUCGAGUGAAAUUUUAUAAAUAAUUAGAGCGUACCUUUUGCAUAAUGGGUCAGCAAGUUAAUAUUAGAUGCGAGCAUGUGUAAAAUGUGCCCAGAUAAACCAAUUAUGAAAUAAUGAAUUAGUAUCUAAAAUUAGACCCGAAGCCUGGUGAUCUUACUACAGUCAGGGUUAUAAAAGCCCGAACGGUUUAUCGUUGUAAAGAUAUCCGAAGAACUGUGGUAAGUUAGUGAAAGACAAAACUGACUAGGAUAGCUGGUUUUCUGCGAAACC
rnacentral:rRNA from 1 species